GGAUUUUCAUUUAAAUUUCAAUAUAAAGUAUGUAAAACUUCUGAAAUUUUACUUUAGAAAACAGCAUGUUUACCCAGCAGCCACCCUGUGUGCAGAAGCAGAACUACUCAUUUGUUUCAGUAGGCAGACUUGAAAAAAGGUGCAAUUGGAGCACAUUGAUUUUUCUCCAUGUUAAAAAGCUUUUAUUGACAUGGCAUUUUCUCACCAGAAAAGGUUACAGCAGAGUAAAGAAGAGAAGGAGAGAGAAGGUGAAACAUAAAGGGAUAAAAAAAGAUGAAGCACCAUGAUGGCUCUGAGCUUCCUGUAAAAUUCGCCCCACUUUAGCCCACUUUAGUGUGUGCUGUCCUUUGAAGUAACGCCUCUCCCAACACACACACACACACACACAGACACGAGAAAAGAUGUGACUGACUCUAUAAACCUUGAAACUCUGAGAGCGACAGCAUCAGAGGCCCCUCCGUAGUUCCUUUUAGUGAACAAAACAGUGAGGAAGGGAAGAGAAAGAGUCGAGGACGUACUGUAUUCAGAGCACAUACGACCACUAUAAAGCACCGCAUGACAGACAGACAGGCAGCAAGACAGACAGACAUAUUAGAGCCACGGGGAGGAUAAGUCUGGAAACCUUCAUCACCUUUAAAGGUUUACUCAUAAUGAUAAUCUCUUUGUGAAACAUCGUAAUUUCUCCAUAAAAAGUCAUAAAGCUUCACAGUGGCUUCGUCUCUGGAGAGCCAGAUGACGCCUUACUGCUGACACAGCACUAAAUUACCAUGCUCUCCCUCCUGCUCCUGCUCUGUUUUAAUGGAAAAACAUGCUCACUACUCAUACCUUAUUUCCCCUCUGUUUCUCCCCUUUUGUCUCUCUUAACAUGUUUGCCAUUUUGUGACUUCUGCUCAUCAAAUACCUUCAACACAGUCAAUACUCUGUUAAUGAGCAUUAGCUCCAUUUAAAUGUGCAUACUUUUAAAACAAAGGGCUCAAAGGAGAAAACUAUUGAUUUUUUUGGCCACUCACAUAUUGUGAGCACAGCACUGACAUAUCGUCACCUUUGAAGUUGAUAUGGCAAACAUGUUAGCAAACAGUUGCUCAUUUACACAUCCAGCAGUUACGGAGCAACAUUAUCAUUCAUUUGGAGUCGUGUUUCUGGCCACCUGGUGAAUGUAAGUCCUAUACUUUUUUUUUUAGCUCUGUUUUUGGUCACUGCCAACUCCUCAGGGAAACAUCUGGCUCUUUAGCUGCUAAAUGCUCCUUUGUGUUCAACAGCAAGUCGCCUACUGUGUCUGUCUGCUGAUGAGCAGGUAGUGUACAAUGGGUUUUUAGAGUUUUUUCAUGGAAAACAGCUGCCCAUUGCGGCCAAAAACGACGCUAUGAGAAUGGUGAGAGUGAACCAAAACAGUAAAGUUGUGGACCGCUAAACAAUGAGCUGAAACUCGCUAUAAAGCGCCGUAAAGCCGAGGGUGUUACGGACAGAACAAGACACCAAGAUGAGAAGGACAGUUUAUUGCACCAAAGGAAACUGGUAAUGAGAAGAGGAUAGUUCUAUCGUCCUUGGAAUGGUUGGAGAGGAGCUCCGGGGUUGUGGGGACACACACUGGAGACUGGAGAUACACAGGACCGGUAGCUGGAGUGACACAACCUGGAGAAGUUCGGGAAUCGGGAUCGAGGCUCUGGAGAUGAGUAGACGAUUUGCAGAUACGUGAUGGAGUCCGUGGCAUUGUGGAGGCAUGCUAUGGCGCUCUGUCCUUAAUCCAAACGAGACCGGACACUGACUGAGAGAUCCUGAAGGUGCUCGACGUGGAAAAGUGGAGUGAUAUGUGACAUGAGAGAACAGUUGGAAACUGAAAUUGCAAGGACCCUGAACGAGAGACUAAAUGUACAAAGAAAACAGCAGCAUCGACUGGGAAGAAGUCAAAGUCAUCAAACAGGAGUCAGUGGACGUCAAGAGAAAGAUCAAGGAGGCCAUUCACAUCCCUGAGACCAUCUUUGAACUGAAACAUGUGUUACGUUCUUACUCUAACACACAGCAUAUCACAUAAUGAUACUGAACCAGCUGCAUUUGGUGAAGAAAACUGUGAGAUGAGGUUGAAGAUCAGAAGCUCUGAAAGCUAGGUCCAACUCUCUCCAGGCACCUUCAGUCAGGUCUCAAAUUUAGAUCUUCCAAGUCCAUCUGCUGGAGCUUCCACCCAGUCAACCGCAGUUAUGAUUUAUUCGAUUUCUGGCAAAGUUCGGCUCAUGCUGUGUGGAACUGAAAGGAGGUUUUAUUUUCCUGUUUAUGCUGGUUUGUCAGUGAAUUCAGCAGAAUCACAGCAGUUCACUAAUCCUACAAACGACAGUGAAGAAGAGCAAGU